GUACGAAAGCAUGGGGAGCAAACAGGAUUAGAUACCCUGGUAGUCCAUGCCGUAAACGAUGUCUACUAGCCGUUGGGGCCUUUGAGGCUUUAGUGGCGCAGCUAACGCGAUAAGUAGACCGCCUGGGGAGUACGGUCGCAAGACUAAAACUCAAAUGAAUUGACGGGGGCCCGCACAAGCGGUGGAGCAUGUGGUUUAAUUCGAUGCAACGCGAAGAACCUUACCUGGUCUUGACAUAGUAAGAACUUUCCAGAGAUGGAUUGGUGCCUUCGGGAACUUACAUACAGGUGCUGCGUGGCUGUCGUCAGCUCGUGUCGUGAGAUGUUGGGUUAAGUCCCGCAACGAGCGCAACCCUUUUCCUUAUUUGCCAGCGGGUUAAGCCGGGAACUUUAAGGAUACUGCCAGUGACAAACUGGAGGAAGGCGGGGACGACGUCAAGUCAUCAUGGCCCUUACGACCAGGGCUACACACGUGCUACAAUGGUCGGUACAAAGGGUUGCUACCUAGCGAUAGGAUGCUAAUCUCAAAAAGCCGAUCGUAGUCCGGAUUGGAGUCUGCAACUCGACUCCAUGAAGUCGGAAUCGCUAGUAAUCGCGGAUCAGAAUGCCGCGGUGAAUACGUUCCCGGGCCUUGUACACACCGCCCGUCACACCAUGGGAAUUUGUUGCACCAGAAGUAGGUAGUCUAACCGCAAGGAGGACGCUUACCACGGUGUGGCCGAUGACUGGGGUGAAGUCGUAACAAGGUAACCAAUCGAAU
rnacentral:rRNA from 1 species